rnacentral:lncRNA from 1 species
UUUUGCGGUUACAUGUAUGUUCGACGACUUCGAAAACCCUGUUCUGAGAAUAGACUUGGCACGAAAAAAAGAGAAGCAAGUGGUGAGUUUGUCCCAGCUGGAUGUAAAAAGGAGCUCAGUGGAGGAGAAUAAAUACAAUUAGAACAAGAUGGCUGUUCCGUGCCUCUCACCUCUCCGUGAGUAACAGCAAACGCAGCAACAUUUACAGUACUUGGACGAAAAAACCUACGUAUGAGCGAAGAGUCAGAUUUCCAGCUAAAUGAUGUCUCAAGUUCAAAGGUGACAGAGAAAGUAUGACUGAGAAUGUAGAAACCUAGAACAAAUGCACUAUGAAUAUUGACAAAAGGGAAGUAUGCUUUAAUUGAGAAAAUUCAGC